GGUAUUUGAAAGUGUGAGUGUAGUUACUGGCACAGGGCAGGGACUGGAAACGGGUGGAGAAGAAGCCUCUUAAGUAUUUGAGGGUAAUGUGCUGCCGAAACGACCACAAGCCAGGACUGAAGAAGCCUUUGACGGUAUGAGGCUGAAAAUGACCUUUGUGCACUGAAGCUUAUGUGAGCAAAAGGGGGCUGGCAAAGCUGUGGAGUCUUAUUUUCAGAUACAGUCACAGAAGGGAAUGGAAAAAAAAAAGAAACUGUCAUAGGGUAGAGACAGAAGCCACAUACCGGUGGGGAGCCUUUGCUGCUUGUGCUCCGCAGGACUUCAGGAUUUAAAUGGGCUGAGACGUAUGUCCUGUUCCUCUCCUUUCUAAAAGACUGGAAAUGGCUCUGAAUUUAAAGUCAUUUCAGGACUCUAUGACACUUAGAGAAGAUGUCUUUUGAUUUUUCCCAUCUAACUAGAAAUUUCUGGCCUUCUUCAACCUUCAUGUAAUAGUGAAUUUAUUGAUACUGCAUUUGCAAGGUUGACGUUUCAUUUCUAAGAAAAGAAUGUUUACUACAAUUAGAUGAGAAGAGUCUCUUCUGGUCAAAGAAGAUCUCUUAAGAGUAGUUCACAUGGGGAAAAGAAAAGUGAGUAUCGUUUAUUUUUAGUAGUGGGCUUGUAUUGCUGUUUUGCAUCUGCAUUUGUAAGUAGCUUUAAAAAUCCAAUAUCCAUGCCAAGAAUGAUUGUAGAAACACAUACAAACCUUAUUUUUUUAUUCCUUACAUUACUUUAAUUUCAAAUCAUUCGUAUGUAUUUCCUAGUAAGGUAAGCAGAAUGGUUCUUUUUCACGGCAUCCCACAAAUUCUCAGUGUAAUUCAGUAGUCCUCUCUUAUCCGUGGUUUUGCUUUCUGAGGUUUCAGUUUUACCCACAGUCAACUGCGAUCCAAAAAUAUUAAACGGAAAAUUCCAGAAACAAACAAUUUAGAAGUUUAAAUUGCGCACCAUUCUGAAUAACGUGAUGGAAUCUUGUGCUAUCCUGUUCUGUCCAGCCCAGGACAUGAAACAUCCUUUUGUCUAGCAUAUCCACAUUGUGGAGGCUACUCCGUCC
rnacentral:lncRNA from 1 species